rnacentral:rRNA from 1 species
UACGUAGGGGGCAAGCGUUGUCCGGAAUCAUUGGGCGUAAAGCGCGCGUAGGCGGCUCUGUAAGUCCGUUGUGAAAGUCAAAGGCUCAACCUUUGAAAGCCGAUGGAUACUGCAGGGCUAGAGUCCGGAAGAGGCGAGUGGAAUUCCUGGUGUAGCGGUGAAAUGCGCAGAUAUCAGGAAGAACACCUAUGGCGAAGGCAGCUCUCUGGGACGGUACUGACGCUGAGACGCGAAAGCGUGGGGAGCGAACAGG